CCGUGCUAGGCGGGGAACUAGCGGUGCCCUGUACCUGCAAUCCGCUCCAGCAGGGCUGAAUCCCCUCCCGAGGCCUCGGUGCUCGGAAGCUGCCGGUCCGCGAGGCGUUGAGGGCCGGGUCCCGCGCGUCGUCGACUCGUGAACCCCGUCAGGUCCGGAAGGAAGCAGCGGUAAACGAUGGGCGGCGAGCGCCGCGGCAAGGCCUGGUCCGAGCCGGACGUGCCGGCAAGCACGGGCGCCCCAGGUCGACGGAGGGUGCACGG
rnacentral:SRP_RNA from 1 species